rnacentral:rRNA from 1 species
GCGUUAUCCGGAUUUACUGGGCGUAAAGGGCGUGUAGGUGGUUGCGUAAGUUGGUUGUGAAAUCUCCCGGCUCAACUGGGAAACUGCAGCUAAAACUGCGUGGCUAGAGUGGCAGAGAGGAAAGUGGAAUUCCCGGUGUAGUAGUGAAAUGCGUAGAUAUCGGGAGGAACACCAGCGGCGAAGGCGACUUUCUGGCUGCCAACUGACACUGAAACGCGAAAGCUAG